rnacentral:rRNA from 1 species
AAUCAACGCUGGCGGCGUGCCUCAGACAUGCAAGUCGAACGCUGCUGUUCGCCUUCGGGUGGACAGCGGAGUGGCGCACGGGUGAGUAACACGUAGGUAAUCUACCUUUGGGUGGGGAAUAACAGCCGGAAACGGCUGCUAAUACCGCAUAAUGCAGCGGCAUCACAUGAUGACAGUUGUUAAAGCGAGGGAUCGUAAGACCUCGCGCCCGAAGAGGAGCCUGCGGCAGAUUAGGUAGUUGGUGAGGUAAUGGCUCACCAAGCCUGCGAUCUGUAACCGGCCUGAGAGGGCGGUCGGUCAC